UAACCAUAGAUUUGCGUAGGUGUUGUGCACAGAGGUGUUACAUAAUAGUCUGUCCAUGACGCCUAGGCAUACCCGUGGUUG
rnacentral:pre_miRNA from 1 species